GAUGAACGCUAGCGGCAGGCUUAACACAUGCAAGUCGAGGGGCAGCACAGGGUAGCAAUACUUGGGUGGCGACCGGCGCACGGGUGAGUAACGCGUAUGCAACUUACCUAUCAGAGGGGGAUAGCCCGGCGAAAGUCGGAUUAAUACCCCAUGAAACAGGGGUCCCGCAUGGGAAUAUUUGCUAAAGAUUCAUCGCUGAUAGAUAGGCAUGCGUUCCAUUAGGCAGUUGGCGGGGUAACGCCCACAAACCGACGAUGGAUAGGGGGUUCUGAGAGGAA
rnacentral:rRNA from 1 species